rnacentral:rRNA from 1 species
UCGAUCUCAAAUCAGGUAGGACUACCCGCUGAACUUAAGCAUAUCAAUAAGCGGAGGAAAAGAAACUAACAAGGAUUCCCCUAGUAACUGCGAGUGAAGCGGGAAGAGCUCAAAUUUAAAAUCUGGCGUGCCUCUGGCCGUCCGAGUUGUAGUCUGGAGAAGCGUCUUCCGUGUUGGACCGUGUAUAAGUCUCUUGGAACAGGGCGUCAUAGAGGGUGAGAAUCCCGUCUUUGACACNGACUACCAAUGCNUUGUGAUGCGCUCUCAAGAGUCGAGUUGUUUGGGAA